rnacentral:rRNA from 1 species
CCCUUAGCUGUUCUGGGCCGCACGCGCGCUACACUGAUGCAUUCAACGAGUCUAAAACCUGCUCUGAUAGGGGUGGGUAAUCUUUUGAAUGUGCAUCGUGAUUGGGAUAGAUGAUUGCAAUUUUUCAUCUUCAACGAGGAAUGCCUAGUAAACGCAAGUCAUCAGCUUGCAUUGAUUACGUCCCUGCCCUUUGUACACACCGCCCGUCGCUCCUACCGAUUGAAUGAUCCGAUGAAUAUCAUGGAUUGAGGAUGCAAGCAGGUUCGCCUGUCUUCAUCUUCGAGAAGUGAAGUAAAUCUUAUCAUUUAGAGGAAGGAGAAGUCGUAACA